rnacentral:lncRNA from 1 species
AUUGUGGACUUUUACCUGCUUUAUAGCUUUUGAAUUAAUAGUGCUUUGGACAAAAGCUACCACAAGCCUGCUCACAGCCAUUGGACAGAAUUUCUCUCUAGUAGAGCCUUCACAUUUCCACACAGCGAAAUUCUUUAAGGGCCAAGGAGGAUCUCUAAGGGCCAAGCUACCUGUUUGGAUUAACAGAAAAGGAAAAUACAGGGAGAGUCCAUCCAAAAUGAGUAUCAUAGUUAAUGAUCCUGUCAUAUAGUCUGAAGCAGGGAGGGAGGAGAAAAAUGGUGGCAUCAUUGAAACUGAAAGACUCUGCCUUCACCAUUCAGAAGUUGGGCUGUCAGUCAACAGCUGACCUCAGGGAAUCAAGAAAACUGACUUUGCAGAGGAAGACCCUUUGGAUCUGGGUCCCAGAGCACUCAGCUGAAGAUCUGCAGAGUCUGUGAAAUAGACAGGUGGCUUGGCCCAUAAUUUGAGAAGCAAGGUAAGGAAGGGGAGGUCCAGUCUGGGGAGAGACCCUAUGGUGCAUAUGUGAUCAAGCAU